rnacentral:rRNA from 1 species
AAAACAUCAAAAAAUAUAUUAUAUAAAGUAAUUCAAAGGGGUUAUUAAGGAAAACUAAGGCAAAUUUAUAAAAAAAAGGAGGUCUAAUACCAAAAGCUUACUAACAAUAAAGUAUUAAGUAAGCGCUCCUAAGGUAAACCUUAUUAAUCAAUUACUUCCUGAAGUAAAACAUUUUAUUAGGGAAAGGAAAGGAAAUCAACCGAGACUCCGAAAGUAAUGGUGAGUGAAAUCGGAUUAGCCUAAUUAAUUCAUAAAUUGAAAAACUUAAGUAUUUAGCAACGAAGGAAGAACUCUCUCUCCUUCUGGCCGUAGUUUCCUUUAUCUUUUUGUUCUCUUUAUUUUCAAUUUCCAGCGUACGCAGCCCCUUUAUUAAUCCUUUGCCCAAAAAGCAAAAGGAUUCAUUCCAUCCUUCCCUUUGCCCAUACAGCCAAAGGGCUGUUAGAAGGGCAAAGGGGGGGGGGGAGAAAUACUGAGUACGAACGAACGAACGAAGGGCUGGAUGCAAAAAUAUAUUAGUUAGUAAUACUUUACUUUAAAGUAGUGUAUAACAUUCUUCGAAGACGAAGUGUUACUCUAAAGAAGGUGAAAAACUAUAAGACCUGUAGGUUUAUGAAUUAAUAUUAGAAUAAGAUAAAUACUCCUUUUAUUAAUCCUUUAUGAAUCCGAAGGAUGGAAUGAAUCCUCCUUUUUAUACCAAGAAGGAAGGAGGGGUAAAUUUAUCUAAAUAAAGUACGAUGAGAGAAAACUUGUCGGAAUAUAGGGGUACCAUCCUCUAAGGCUAAGUAUUAUAAAUUUAGCGAUAGUGAAUAAGUACUGUAAAGGAAAAGUUUGAAAAGCGAGUGGUAUACAAAAAUGAAUUUUUAAAAUAUCCAUUGCCCCUUUAAAGGGGGGAACAUUUAAGAAUGAAUUGGUGAAAUAGAUCUUGAAUUAGUAACUCUAUAAGCAGUCGAAAUUCUACUUUGUAUCGAAAAAGAAUCAUGAAUGACGGCGUACCUUUUGCAUAGUUAAUAGGAGUAGCAAGGUUUAAAGCCCUAGCGAAAGCGACUGGACUAUAAUUUAAAAAUACAAAGAAAAAAUUUGUAUUAUAAGUACACAUAGUGAUGGGUCAGUUACUUCUAUUGGACCCGAAGCCAGGUGAUCUUACCAAGACCAGAUUAUAAUGGAUCGAACGGGUGAAUGUUGCAUAAUUCUCCGAUGAGUUUUGGUAAGCGGUUUAGCCCUUGCCCCCGGACCGGGUGCGGGCCAGGGGGGUAUAGGACCCCUGCCCUUGCCCUCACAGUCAAGGACGGGGCAAGGGUGAAUAAGAAAUGCCAAUCUGACCUGGUGCUAGCUGGUUUUCUACCGAAACAUAUUUAAGUAUGACGUCUACACAAAAUUUAUGGAGGUACAGCAAGGCAAUUCCCAACAAGUUUAAGGGUUGUGUACGAAGUGCUCUCUGUAUUACUACGGAGAAGUUUUAACACAUCAGCCUUUUAGGCGUUUAGGUUGCGGGGACCUCGAAAAUCUUACCUUUGGAAGCGAAUCUCGGAAUUACAUAAAUUGAUGGUAGAUAUUCAGACUACUCAUGCUAAGUUGGGUAGUCAAGACGGAAACAGCCGAGAACACUGAUCAAGGUCCCAAAUGAUUGUUAAGUGAAAUUAAGGACGUAGCAAUAUCAUAUACAGCUGUGAAGUGAGCCUGGCAGUCGCUACUUUUAAUGAUCGUAUGUAACAACGCAUCAGCAGUUUAGAUAGUAGCGCCGAAAAUUUAACGGGUCUUAAACAAUCAACCGAUAUCGUGUUGGUUUAUAUUAUGAAUGACCCGCCCCCAGUCCUUAACCCCUCGGGCCCAGCGGAGCAGCCCCUCUUCUCCGAAGAGUAGGGACUGCUACGCACCCCCCACCCCUUCCCUUUGCCCCGCCUUUUAGGGCGGCUUAUUGGGCAAAGGCAGGGGGGGGGACUGCUAGCUGGGGGAGAGGGGGCAAGGGGUGUGAGGGGGAGCGGGUAUAAUUAUUUAUAUACAUUUCUAAUACUAAAUCUAGGUAGUAGAACAUUCAGUCAAACCCAUUAUAAAAUAGUGUUUCAUUAUUUUUUAGGUUACUGAAGAGAGAAUGCUGACAUGAGUAACGUAAAAAGAAGUUAUAAUACUUCUCGCCGAAUACGAAAGGGUUGCAAAUAGGAAAGGUUAAUCCGUUUUGUUUGAAUGCGGCCUCUAAGGACCAAAACCAAAGUUUUGGCUGAUGAGUAUAUAAUAGAAAGUCCAUUUUUUUUAGUGGACCAGGAAAUGAAUAUUAUAAGUAAUAACAUUUUACUGUAUAACAGCCCUCCAUGCUAACAAUAAUCUUUCCAAGAAAGCCCAGCAUCUUAAUUAAAUAUAACUUAUUAAAUAUACUAAAAAGAAAUACAAUCGAAAAAAAAAAUGAAUAAAAUUAAAAAAGAACAAUUAAUAGGAAUAAGUCCUAAUAGCAAAUUAUUUAAAGAAUACAAAGAAUCUCUUAAAGCACUAUCUAAUAUACAAUGGGAUUCCUCCAUUGGCUUAAUGUUAGGAGAUGCUAGUUUACAAACUCAAAAUAAUGGUAAAACAUAUAGAUUAAAAUUUGAGUGGAGCGAUAGGAAUAAAGCUUUCCUUCGGCGUGAAUCAUGUUUAUGAUUUAUUUAAUGAAUGGGUAAUUUCACCUCCUCAUAAAAAAGUCAGAACAAGUCCUAAGGGAAACCUAGUAUGUAAUUUAGGGUUUCAAACUAUUAGUCAUCAAGCUUUUAAUCCUUUAGCCCCUCGGCCCGCACCCGGCAGCGUAGCAGCCCCUGCUCUUGCCCUCCUCCCCUUACCCCUUACCCCUUCGGGGGAGGGGGAGGGGGGGAGGACAGCCAAGAGCGGGGCAAGAGGGGGGCAAGGGCUAAAUUAUUUAUUUAUGAAAAUAAAAAAAGCAUUAAAGAGUCAUUAAUUAAAAAUCAUUUAACUGAGAGAGGAUUAGCUUAUUGGUUUAUGGACGACGGUGGGAAAUUGGACUAUAAUAAAAACUCAAAAAAUAAGAGCAUAGUAUUAAAUACUCAAAGUUUUUUAGAUUCAGAAGUUAAUCAAAUGGCUAAAGAAUUAGCAAAUAAGUUUAAUCUUAGUUGUGAAGUUCGAUCUAAUAAAUUAAAAAAAGUCAUAGUUAUCAAGUCUGAGAGUUAUACUAAAAUUAGAACAUUAAUAGACCCUUACAUUGUUCCAGAAAUGUCUUACAAGUUACCGGCCUUCGGCCCUUCAGAUAGAAAGGUAUUUGUACUUUAGUUUUAAUAAUAAUUUAAAAAGAUGAUGACAUAGUCUGAACAGUAGCGUGAGUUACUGAAGUAAAGAAUAAAGAAUCAUUACGAUAACAUAAUUGAACAGGCUGAUCGCGGACGAGAGUACACAUUGUCUCCGCGGAUUGGCACCUCGAUGUCGACUCAUCCUAUCCUCCGGGGGAAGAAGCUUGGAAGGGUUCGGCUGUUCGCCGAUUAAAAGGGUACGUGAGUUGGGUUUAAUACGACGUGAAGAGUCAGUAUGGUCCCUAUCUUCUGGAGGGAGAAUUAGUAAAAAGGGGCAGACCUUCUAGUACGAAAGGAUCAAUAGGCUGUGUUUCUCUAGUGUACCAAUUGUUGGUACUAUUUUGUUUAAGACCCCUAUAUCUCCUUCCUUUUGGAAUCAAGGAGGAUGGAAAGAUAAGUGGGUAAAAUCCUUUUGAACUUUAAGCUAAAAAAGUUCUUUAUUUUAAAUACCUUCCCCUGCCCUUGCCCUAAAAGCCAAAGGCAAAGGUAAGGUUAUGAUAAAAGGUCACAAAAUGGGAACGCAUAGUUGGGUAGCCACAAACAUAAUAGAUAAGUGCUGAAUGUCUAUAAAGCAAGAAUCUAACCCCUAGAUACUUUAAAUAUGAUUAUUUAUCUUAAUUUACCCCUGCCUUUGACCUAUAAGCCAAGGGAUUAUUAAAAGGGGGACAGGGAAUAAAGAUCAUUAAUUAAGAAAUAGAACAUUUCUAGAUAGGCUGCAAAUAUAACAUAUUGUAAAAUAUUUAGUUUAGCAGUACUAAUUUAUAAAAAAACUAGGUGCCAG